AAAUCGGGAAAUCUGGAGCUUGCUUGAACUACCUUUGCUUUAUUCAUUAGGCACUUCCCUUUCUUCCUCCGGAAAUGAAGGUGGAUAUGUAAUGGAAAUCAAGCUUGCGUAUGUAAUUGCCAAAAUUAGCCUGUAAGCGUUACCGGCCCAGGAGCCAGGUAACUUCUAGGGAUUCUGGGAAUUGUAGUUUUUUUUUCUAAGUAACCCUCGUGAGAAAGUGCGGUGGCCAAAUUGAUUAUCUGUAUAAACCCCUACAAUAUGUGACCGGGGGCUAUUCCGGCUGGGAAAUUCUGCGGAUAUUUCUGACCCAGGUCCAUCUCUUGGGUACUGAAAUCCCGUUGUGAAAACCUGAAUGAGUGACUUGAUCUGUGAAAGAUGGACCAAGAAAAUCCACUAUGGAUACAACUGCUAAACCUAAAGAAUAGAAAUUGAAUGGGGGUGAUUGAGUCAUGAAGCCAUGAACAAGAGACUCUCUACCAAGAGUGAAUCAGCUGUAGAAACCAGUGACUGAGAGAAAAGCAUUGAUAAAAUCUCAGAGAGAGGGUUUGACUUCGAGGUUGCUGGUCCUUGCUAUGUUUUCUCUUUUGAAUGCAUAUGUUACUACUACUACUCAUAUUGUUUCCUAGGCAAAGAUGGUUUCACAAACACUUGAUGAAUAUAUAUUCAUGCCUUCCAUGAUGAAAAAUUAACUAUUAACUAAAUUUGCAUGAAUUAUCCUUUAUUGCUGCACAAAAGCUAAUGAAGGUUUUUCUUAAUUGUUUUUGUCUCUAAUUGGAUUCAUAAAUGUGGUCCUUAUAAAUGUCUCUAGAAUGUUUUGUUGGUUAUACUGGAGAGCAUUAUAGCCCUGAUUGCUUUGAUUCUCCAUGUAUGCUUUAAAGUUUGAAUUGCAAUGAAAUAAAAAUAUUUC
ensembl:lincRNA Gm17102 predicted gene 17102